CAUGGACAUUUGAACAAUAAGGAUUCUUCCGAUCCAUGAACUUGGAAUAGCCUUCUGUUCUUUUGGUGUCCUCUUUAAUUUCUUUCAUGAGUAUUUUAUAGUUUUCAUUGUAGAGAUCUUUCACUCCUUUGGUUAAUUCCUAGGUACUUAUUUUAUUUGUGGCUAUUGUAAAUGGGAUUAAUUUCUUUUUCAUACUGUUCACCAUUGGCAUACAGAAACGCUAUUGAUUUUUGUAUGUUGAUUUUGUAUCCUGCAACAUUAGUGAAUUAUUUAAUCAGUUCAAAUAGUUUUUUGGUGGAGUCUUUAGGUUUUUCCAAAUAUAGGAUCAUAUCAUCUGCAAACAAGGAUAAUUUGACUUCUUCCUUUCCAGUUUGGAUGCCCUUUAUUUCUUCUCUUGUCUGAUUGCUCUAGCUAGAACUUCCAGUACUAUGUUGAAUAAUAGUGGUGAAAUUGGGCAUCCUUAUCGUGUUCCAGAUCUACAAGGAAAGGCUUUCAGUUUAGGAAAGACAUCUUUGACCUCAGCUUGGUUCUGAAAGGUCUCUCCCUGACCAGUAUUUUUUAUGGCAUUGAAGUAAGAGCACUGGAUUUAAACUCAGACACUUUUGCUUGAUUAUUGAUGGUACUUACUAGCCUGUGCCAGAAUAACGUCUUAGAGCCACCCCUGUGCUUCAAUUUCCGUAUCUGUAAAAUACAAAUAAUAUGUACCUCAUAGAAGCAUUAU
rnacentral:lncRNA from 1 species